rnacentral:pre_miRNA from 2 species
GCUGGGCAUCUGUUGAGUACAGCCAUGUCUGUUGGGCAUCUACAGUCUUCCACCAGGCAUUGUGGUCUCUGCUGACUCUCUGU